ensembl:lncRNA
UUCUGCUUUAUAUCACUACAGAGUAGUGUUAAUGACAGUUAAUGUUUCCGGUCUGCAAAUCUGCAUCUGAACGACUUUAAGUCUGCAAAAGGUUAUUAAAUCGGCAGGCUGGGAUUCUGUGAUCUAAGACACCUGACCUUGCUGCAAUCUAUUAUGACUGAACUUUCCUAAUAGCUAAAAGCGCCAUAAAAUGCAGAGUGAGCUCGUGAAAUCUCCCUGUUGUCUGUUUCUCAUGAUGGUAGUGACAGCAGGGAAGGGUGGUGGUAGCAGUAAGAGAGGUGCAGUGUGUUUUCAGCUCUCUGUUUUUCCCUUCUGCGUCUCAGUCUCAGUCUCAGUCUCAGUCUCAGUCUCAGUCUCAGUCUCAGUCUCAGUCUCAGUCUCAGUCUCAGUCUGAGUCUCAGUCUCAGUCUCAGUCUCAGUCUCAGUCUCAGUCUCAGUCUCAGUCUCAGUCUCAGUCUGUCUGAGUCUCAGUCUCAGUUUCAGUCUCAGUCUCAGUCUCAAUCUCAAUCUCAAUCUCAGUCUCAGUCUCAGUCUCAGUCUCAGUCUCAGUCUCAGUCUCAGUCUCAGUAUUAGUGUCAGUCUCAGUCUCAGUCUCAGUCUCAGUCUCAGUCUCAGUCUCAGUCUCAGUCUCAGUCUCAGUCUCAGUCUCAGUCUCAGUCUCAGUCUCAGUGUCAGUCUCAGUCUCAGUCUCAGUCUCAGUCUCAGUCUCAGUCUCAGUCUGAGUCUCAGUCUCAGUCUUAGUAUUAGUGUCAGUGUCAGUCUCAGUCUCAAUCUCAGUCUCAGUCUCAUCUUCAGUCUCAGUCUCAGUCUCAGUCUCAGUCUCAGUCUCAGUAUUAGUGUCAGUCUCAGUCUCAGUCUCAGUCUCAGUCUCAGUCUCAGUCUCAAUCUCAGUCUCAGUCUCAGUCUCAGUUUCAGUCUCAGUCUCAGUUUCAGUCUCAGUCUCAGUCUCAGUCUCAGUCUCAGUCUCAGUCUCAGUCCAUUGUUCCGCUCAUUUAGAAACUGGUUGUGGAGCUUGGACCAGAUCAGGACUAUUGUUCUGCUCAUAUAGAAACUCAUUAAAUGGGUAUAACUUGGAAUAGUCUCUCUUAUAGUUAUUGGCAGUGUAACGAUGCUCUUAUAGUUGGGGG